AACGAACGCUGGCGGCAGGCCUAACACAUGCAAGUCGAACGCACCUUUCGGGGUGAGCGGCAGACGGGGGAGUAACGCGUGGGAAUCUACCCUUCUCUACGGGAUAGCUCCGGGAAACUGGAAUUAAUACCGUAUACGUCCUGAGGGAGAAAGAGUUAUCGGGGAAGGAUGAGCCCGCGUUGGAUUAGCUAGUUGGUGGGGUAAAGGCCUACCAAGGCGACGAUCCAUAGCUGGUCUAAGAGGAUGAUCAGCCACAUUGGGACUGAGACACGGCCCAGAAUCCUACGGGAGGCAGCAGUGGGGAGUAUUGGACGAUGGGCGCAAGCCUGAUCCAGCCAUGACGCCGGAGUGAUGAAGGCCCUAGGGUUGUAAAGCUCUUUCAGUGGGAACGAUAAUGACGGGACCCACAGAAGAAGACCCGGCUACCUUCGUGCCAGCCGCCGCGGUAAUAC
rnacentral:rRNA from 1 species